UGUAUUUAUCUCUCAAAAAUCUAAUCAAUGACUGGAGGAAGCGACGUGCUUUUCUCCCUGCGCUCUGCCUAGCGUCAAGCAAAAGUAAGCUCACCUCCUCCAUCCCCCAUCCUCCAUCCCCAUCUUCAUCCCCAUCUUCAUCUUCAUCUUCCCGAAACCCUAACCUGCAACUCCAACCCUUCUCCAUGACCACCCUCUCCUCCUCCCCUUCCUCCGCCAACCCCAGCAGCAACCCCGCCUUCCUCUCCCCCCCGCAAACCCUAAUCCCCCCCGAUUUCGCCUUCGAUCCCGACCCCGACUCCGACUCCAUCCCCUUCCCCAAUUCA
rnacentral:lncRNA from 1 species